AUGGAGAGAGACACUCAGAGGCUGGAGCAAGCCGUCGAGGAGAGUAUUCGCUGCUUGGGAAGCCGGCGAUUGAAGAGAGAGGAAGCUAGCGGCCAUGUAAGUGCCCCGACAGGUCCCGAUGGCGCGAGCGCACCGCGGCGGCGGCCCGCCGCGACCGACGCUAGGGCGAUGCUUCACGGGCUGCCUCCGUCGGCCGACACACCGGGCCCCCGACAGCGAGCAGUGACGCCUGCAACGCCAGCUAAGGUACCGAAAUAUAACGGGCUAACCCCGCUAGAGCCCUACCUCUCACAAGUACGGCUAGCCGCGAGACAUAAUAGCUGGAGCGACGAAGAGGCUGCUACACAGCUAGCGCUAGCAUUGGAAGGAGAUGCACUGCAGGUACUCCAUGACCUAGCCGCGUCAGAGCAGCAUGAGCUCCAGGCCCUCACCAUAGCACUCGAGAGGCGAUUCGGGCAGCGGCACUCCACUGAGCAGAGCAGGGAGCAGCUGACCAACCGGAACCGUAGGCCGGGGGAGAGCCUGGGCACUUUUGCAGCGGAUGUGUUGCUGUAUGCUCGUCGUGGCUACCCAGAGUUCCCAGCAGCAGCCCGUGAGGAGCUUAGCCUGCAUGCUUUCCUGCGAGGACUUUUUCCAGAGCGACUACGCCAACACGUCCGCCUAGCCAUGCCUCAAACUCUCCGUGAGGCGCUCCUUGAGGCUGAGAGGGCCGAGCUGGUGCUCACCUCGCCACCUAACCAGCAUGUGCGCCCCCCAAACUACCCUCAAAUCAGAGCCGCAGACUACGACAGGGAGGGGGAGGUCCCGGAGGUAUGCCAGCUGCAGCCCUCGGUGCCCUGGAGGCGUCCCCGUCGACCGACCGACCGCUGCUACCGGUGCGAUGAGCCUGGCCACGUGGCGCGCAACUGCCUGGCGCCUGCCCCAAAGGCCAGGACCAUGUGGCCUCAGGGGGAUGAGAGGGGGAGCGGUACAGCGGGGGGACCACCGCUCCAGCUUCCUGCCCCCCUCCAAGAACGAUGCACGGUGGCGGGCCUAGUCGGGCACCUCAAGGGACUCUACUUAAGCUGCUGUGUUGAGGACCAGCCCUGCCAAGCCCUGGUGGACACGGGGUCCACCAUUUCCCUAAUACGACCUGGUGUGUUUCCUGGAACAUCCGGGCCGCUUGUGAUGGGUUGGUCACCCACCGACACCCAGCUGAUGACAGUGACGGGGGAGAGAACUGACAUGCUGGGGAAGAAACCGUUGCGGAUCCGAGUGAAGGAUCUGGAGCUGGUGCACGACUUCUGGCUUGCUGACAUCCAAGAACAGUGCAUCAUCGGCCUUGAUCUGCUGACCCGCUGGGGGGCCUGCGUUGACACCGCGAAGCUGGCUAUCACUCUUGGCACAGAGACUCUGGCCCUCCAGUGCGGCCAAAAGCAGGUAACCAGAGACUGCAGGCAGACUCGGCUGGUUCAGCACACCACCAACACCGGCUCUGCUCAACCCAUCUGUCUGCGCCCACGCCAGCUGCCUCUCUCGAAACGGCCGGGAGAGCGUGCCCAGGAGGCACGGAGCGUGGCUACUGCUCGGGCCACAGCCGGCGGAGGGGGAUGGCUCUCGUUGACCCUGCAGCAGCUGAAGCGGGAGCAGGAGGCUGAUGCGACGUUGUUUCAGGUGGGGGCCUGGCUGGAGGCAGCACGACGCCCAGGCUGGACAGGGGUGUCAGGACAGGGGCCCGAAGUGAAGGCCUACUACUCCCAGUACAACACCCUGGAGACCCACGACGGCCUCCUGUACCGGAGAUGGCGGGUCACCGGGCAGGGCAGAGAUCUCUUGCAGCUGUUGGUGCCUCGGACGCUGCGGUCGCAGGUGCUCGAGCUCGUCCACGGCUCGGUGGGGGCCAGCCACUAUGGAAAUGCUAAAACUCUCCGCCGUCUCAGGGGACGGUUCUACUGGCCUGGUUGUCGACGGGAUGUGGAACUUCAUGUGCACUGCUGUGACACCUGUACAGCACGGAAGGGCUCUGCUCAAUGCUUCACUGUCCCCCUACAGCAGCAUCGGGUGGGGGCCCCGAUGGAGAGAGUGGGAGGAGGCGUCCUAGAGCCUUUCCCCGUCCCGAGGCAGAGAACCGGCGCGUGUUGGUGGCCAGAGACGGCUACAGGAGGCUGA
ensembl:lncRNA